CGUGCGGGGCUCCCGUCGCGUCCAACAGGUCCCGGGCGGGCCGCGGAGCCGAGAGCGGCUCCUCAGGCCUGAGGGCUCCCAGCCUGGCCGUGGCAGCGGGGACCCUGUGAAAAACAAUAUGGGACCAUGUAAUUAAAGACUGUCAUAAUGAGAUGAGCCGCGGGCCUACAUUAAAGGUUCCGGGCACAUGUAGUUGGUGUUUCCUGUGUUUUGAAGUAACGGGCUUUGCAACGUGACAGCAUUUUUGAAUGUAAGCUCUGGCUCCAAUUAGCUCAAAUCUUUAUUUCCCUGAAGGACCAAACCCUUGCCUAUGUGUUUUAACACUUUGGAAAAAAACCCCCAAACAUUACAAAAACCAGCACAACUGUCAGGUCUCAUAAGCAAGUUACUAGAUGAAGCUGCUGUUCUGAGAUUCCAAUACAGAACUGGUGUGAACGUGCUCACUCUCUAUUCUGAGAACUAGUGAGACUGGGAUUUGGAGCUGCCAUGUUUCUCAGUACAAGGAAGAUGUCAUGUUACUCUGUAUGAGGGAGCUGGUAAGAGUACAACUCUAUGUUUCCAUGAAGAGUAUUAGGUGUUCUGAUUUAGAGAAUCAGUUAAGGGCAGCAUUUUCAAUCCCUGUUCUUGUGCCAUGCUACCUAUCCCUUUCUCUUUGAUCACAACCAGAGUAAACUGUUUGAGAUAAUCCUGUUGUUGAGAGAAAACACUGUCUUACUGCUUAAAUCAUGUAAAUCAUGUUUUUAAAAAAGAGAUGAGGGACAGUAUUUUUGUA